rnacentral:lncRNA from 1 species
UAGUGGUUAGAGUUCUAGUUUAUGUACAGUCAGCCCUCUGUAUCUGCAGGUUCUGCAUCCAUGUGUUCAAAGACAUGCAGUUAAAAAAAAUUUUUUUUUAAGUUCCAGAAAGUUCCAAAAAGCAAAACUGGAAUUUGCCACACUGGCGACUAUUUACAUAUCAUUUACAUUGUAUUUACAACUACUUGCAUAGUAUUUACAUUGUAUUAGGUAUUAUAAGUAAUCUAAAGACAAUUUAAAAUAUAUAGGAGUUUGUGCAAAGUUUAUAGGCAAAAGUUUGCUAUUUCAUAUGAGACGAGCCUCUUUUGAUUUUGACAUAGGGAUGUGGGUCCUGGAACCAAUCCCCUGCAGUUACCAAGAGACAACUCAAUUAUGAAUGUAAAAAUAACGAGCUUCAUGUUGUGUUUGAAUCUGAAACAAGCUAGAAUCACUUCAUUCCAAAAACAGCUGCUUAAAGCAAAGCUAAUUGAACUGUUUUCUUCCCACUCUGAACAAAGGAAGAAAGCAAAGGAAAAAAAAAUUCAGUGAUAGUUAUAACAAGUAAAUAAUAGAUAUUUAUUGGAGGAAUUAUAUAACUAUUUUCUGCAGAAAAGUUUUUUGACUCCAGUUUUAUAUCACGUGUGACUAUAGACAGUCUAGUUUCUAAGAACCAUCUAACAAUAUGAGCAUACUAUUUUAUUUAUAUCGAAUGGAAAAAAUUUAAAAAGUAAAUCUAUCAGGAUACAGAACUAAAAUGAAAGAGUCUUAGGGGAUUCAUAUUCACUGGAAUUAUUCAGUUAUUUAAAGCUCUUUUUAGUUUCAGUUUUCUUCUCACUUUCUAGCAAGACCUAACACAGUAUAAACUAUCAAUGAAAAAUAUCUCUAAGUCUAGGGAGACACUUUCCUCUCUAUGCAUGAUUUUUUUUGCUUUUCAUAUUUCACUUUAAUCAAGGCUACAUAGAAUAAGAUUCUAAUUUCACAUUUUUCUCACAACUAAAAAGGGAAGUAUAUAUUUCUAGUCCACACAAAAACAAUUCUACAUAAUACCGACUCUUCAUAUUCUUCAGGAUAUUUAGGAUACUAAAAACAUAAGUGAAUAAAUGUGAGUGCACAGGAAGCUAACAGAUGAGAAGAACAUGGGUGGGCAACACACAGUAAUCUAGUGAUACACAUUUCAAGAAAGUUGGUUUGGGGGGGCAGGAAGGGUUGGCCACCCCGCAGCAUGUGGAAGUUCCUAAGCCAGAGAUCGAACCCAUACCCAAGCUGCUGCACUGUGGAUCCUUAACCCACUGUGCUACAAGAAAGCUCCUAGUUGCCUGUUUUCUUAACGGAAGUUUUGUCAAGGCUAGGAGACAUUAGUCAUGGGAGUUUCCACAGAAUCAGCAGGUGAGAAUGGCUGGCAUGACAAAAAGUAUGAAUGUCAAAACCUCCUUGAAGAAUUUUAUUUUAUUUUCUUCUUUUUAGGCCUGCAUCUGAGGCAUAUGGAAGUUCCUGGGUUAGGGGUUGAAUUGGAGUUGCAGCUGCAGCCUACCCCACAGCCCAGGCAAUGCCAGAUCCUAAACCCACUGAGCAAGGCCAGGGAUCCAACCCACAUCCUCAUGGAUACUAGUUGGGUUCUUAACCUGCUGAUUUUUUCCCAAUGGGAACUCCUCCUUGUAGUUUUUUCUUUUCUUUUUUUUUUUUUUUGCUUUUUAGGGCCGCACCUGUAGUAUAUGGAGUUCCCAUUGUGGUGCAGCGGAAAUGAAACCAGCUAGUAUCCAUGAGGACAAGGGUUUGAUCCCU